rnacentral:rRNA from 1 species
AUUGAACGCUGGCGGCAUGCUUUACACAUGCAAGUCGAACGGUAACAGGCCGCAAGGUGCUGACGAGUGGCGAACGGGUGAGUAAUGCAUCGGAACGUGCCCAGUCGUGGGGGAUAACGCAGCGAAAGCUGCGCUAAUACCGCAUACGAUCUAUGGAUGAAAGCGGGGGACCGUAAGGCCUCGCGCGAUUGGAGCGGCCGAUGUCAGAUUAGGUAGUUGGUGGGGUAAAGGCUCACCAAGCCAACGAUCUGUAGCUGGUCUGAGAGGACGACCAGCCACACUGGGACUGAGACACGGCCCAGACUCCUACGGGAGGCAGCAGUGGGGAAUUUUGGACAAUGGGCGCAAGCCUGAUUCAGCAAUGCCGCGUGCAGGAAGAAGGCCUUCGGGUUGUAAACUGCUUUUGUACGGAACGAAACGGCUCUCACUAAUACUGGGGGCUAAUGACGGUACCGUAAGAAUAAGCACCGGCUAACUACGUGCCAGCAGCCGCCGUAAAAC